GAGAACCUCCGGGGGCAGGAGGUUCGACUCGAGCGAAGCGAGAGAACGUUGCGUCAGCAACGGCCCGCAGGGCGAGCCACGAAGUGGUGAGUC
rnacentral:sRNA from 1 species